rnacentral:lncRNA from 1 species
CCAAUUUAUUGGUAUCUUAGAAAGGCAAUGGGGGGACCCUCACCAAUCUUCACUUAUCUGACCAAUUUGAAAGAUUGAGUCUUGAAUUAGGUUGCUUAGCAAUCUGAUUUAGCCUAUACCAGUUAGAUCGAUCAUAUGAUGAUUGAUUAGCUGAGACCUAAUCCUAAACCUCCUCACAUAUAUUAAAUCCAUAGGUCUUUCACCAUUAUAGAUGUGUGGGCGU